ACCUGGCUGGCUCAGCUGGUAGAGCAUGUGACUCUUGAUCUCAGGGUUGUGGGUUCAAGCCCCAUGUUGGGUG